GAUGAACGCUGGCGGCGUGCCUAAUACAUGCAAGUCGAGCGAACAGACGAGGAGCUUGCUCCUCUGACGUUAGCGGCGGACGGGUGAGUAACACGUGGAUAACCUACCUAUAAGACUGGGAUAACUUCGGGAAACCGGAGCUAAUACCGGAUAAUAUAUUGAACCGCAUGGUUCAAUAGUGAAAGACGGUUUUGCUGCCACUUAUAGAUGGAUCCGCGCCGCAUUAGCUAGUUGGUAAGGUAACGGCUUACCAAGGCGACGAUGCGUAGCCGACCUGAGAGGGUGAUCGGCCACACGGGAACUGAGACACGGUCCAGACUCCUACGGGAGGCAGCAGUAGGGAAUCUUCCGCAAUGGGCGAAAGCCUGACGGAGCAACGCCGCGUGAGUGAUGAAGGUCUUCGGAUCGUAAAACUCUGUUAUUAGGGAAGAACAAAUGUGUAAGUAACUAUGCACGUCUUUACGGUACCUAAUCAGAAAGCCACGGCUAACUACGUG
rnacentral:rRNA from 1 species